GGUCCGUUGGCCCAAUGGUAAGGCGUCUGACUACGACUAUACAAAAACUAUCGAAUAGUUAAUAGGUAAUCAGGAGAUUCUGGGUUCGACCCCCAGGCGGACCU